GCUUACGGCCACACCGGCCUGAGUACGCCUGAUCUCGUCCGAUCUCGGAAGCUAAGCAGGGUCGGGCCUGGUUAGUACUUGGAUGGGAGACCGCCCUGGGAAUACCAGGUGCUGUAAGCU
ensembl:rRNA 5S_rRNA 5S ribosomal RNA